GUGCUUGCUUCGGCAGCACAUAUACUAAAAUUGGAAUGAUACAGAGAAGAUUCGCAUGGCCCCCUGUGCGAGGAUGGCACACAAAUUCAUGAAGCAUUCUUAUUUUUU
rnacentral:snRNA from 1 species